UUAAAAUGAUGUUUAUACUCACGAUGGUCUUCAUAAUGACUGUGAUGAAAUUGCUUUUUAGCAAAGACUGAUUACUCUGG